CCUACGGGGGGCUGCAGUGGGGAAUAUUGCGCAAUGGGCGAAAGCCUGACGCAGCGACGCCGCGUGGAGGAUGAAGGUCUUAGGAUUGUAAACUCCUGUUAAGUGGGAAGAAAAGUCUAUCAGUAAUAUGGGUAGAUUAUGACGGUACCGCUAGAGAAAGCACCGGCUAACUUCGUGCCAGCAGCCGCGGUAAUACGAGGGGUGCAAGCGUUAUUCGGAUUUACUGGGCGUAAAGGGUGUGUAGACGGUUUGCUAAGUCUGUUGUUAAAUACUCUGGCUUAACUGGAGAUCAGCAGUGGAAACUAGUAGACUAGAGGUUGGGAGAGAGAAGUGGAAUUCCCGGAGUAGCGGUAAAAUGCGUAGAUCUCGGGAGGAACACCGAUGGCGAAAGCAGCUUCUUGGCCCAUACCUGACGUUGAGACACGAAAGCGUGGGGAGCAAACAGGAUUAGAUACCCUUGUAGUC
rnacentral:rRNA from 1 species